AGGAUGAACGCUGGCGGCGUGCUUAACACAUGCAAGUCGAACGAUGAAGCCGGAGCUUGCUCUGGUGGAUUAGUGGCGAACGGGUGAGUAACACGUGAGUAACCUGCCCUUGACUCUGGGAUAAGCGUUGGAAACGACGUCUAAUACCGGAUACGACGCGCGAAGGCAUCUUCUGCGCGUGGAAAGAAUUUCGGUCAAAGGAUGGACUCGCGGCCUAUCAGCUAGUUGGUGAGGUAACGGCCCACCAAGGCGACGACGGGUAGCCGGCCUGAGAGGGUGACCGGCCA
rnacentral:rRNA from 1 species